rnacentral:rRNA from 1 species
UACGUAGGUGGCGAGCGUUGUCCGGAUUUACUGGGCGUAAAGCGCGCGCAGGCGGCAGUCUAAGUCCUCUGUGAAAUCACCCGGCUCAACUGGGUGGCUGCGGAGGAGACUGGGCAGCUUGAGGGGCCUAGAGGCCGGUGGAACUCCCGGUGUAGUGGUGAAAUGCGUAGAGAUCGGGAAGAACACCAGUGGCGAAGGCGGC